rnacentral:rRNA from 1 species
UACGUAGGGUGCAAGCGUUGUCCGGAAUUAUUGGGCGUAAAGAGCUCGUAGGCGGUCUGUCGCGUCGGCUGUGAAAACCUGGGGCUUAACUCCGGGCUUGCAGCCGAUACGGGCAGACUAGAGUUCGGCAGGGGAGGCUGGAAUUCCUGGUGUAGCGGUGAAAUGCGUAGAUAUCGGGAGGAACACCUGUGGCGAAAGCGGCUCACUGGACCAUAACUGACGCUGAUGCACGAAAGCUGGGGGAGCAAACAGG